GACGAACGCUGGCGGCGUGCCUAAUACAUGCAAGUAGAACGCAGUUGCGAACGGGUGAGUAACGCGUAGGUAACCUGCCUUGUAGCGGGGGAUAAAUAUUGGAAACGAUAGCUAAUACCGCAUACUACAAGCUGGACCUGCGUUGUAUUAGCUAGUAGGUGGGGUAACGGCUCACCUAGGCGACGAUACAUAGCCGACCUGAGAGGGUGAUCGGCAACACUGGGACUGGGACACGGCCCAGACUCCUACGGGAGGCAGCAGUAGGGAAGCUUCGGCAAUGGGGGCAACCCUGACCGAGCAACGCCGCGUGAGUGAAGAAGGUUUUCGGAUCGUAAAGCUCUGUUGUAAGUGAAGCGGUAGCUUACCAGAAAGGGACGGCUAACUCCGUGCCAGCAGCCGCGGUAAUUC
rnacentral:rRNA from 1 species